CCUACGGGUGGCAGCAGUGAGGAAUAUUGGUCAAUGGGCGGAAUCCUGAACCAGCCAUGCCGCGUGCAGGACGACGGCCCUAUGAGUUGUAAACUGCUUUUGUACGGGGGUAAAAUGCUCUACGUGUAGGUUUUUGCAAGUACGGUACGAAUAAGGACCGGCUAACUCCGUGCCAGCAGCCGCGGUAAUACGGAGGGUCCGAGCGUUAUCCGGAUUCAUUGGGUUUAAAGGGUGCGUAGGUUGUUUUAUAAGUUAGCGGUGAAAUACCGAGGCUCAACAUCGGGGCUGCCGCUGAUACUGUAGGACUAGAGAGCGGAUGCGGCAGGCGGAAUGUGUAGUGUAGCGGUGAAAUGCAUAGAUAUUACACAGAACACCGAUUGCGAAGGCAGCUUGCUAGGCCGGAUCUGACGCUGAUGCACGAAAGCGUGGGGAUCGAACAGGAUUAGAUACCCUUGUAGUC
rnacentral:rRNA from 1 species